rnacentral:misc_RNA from 1 species
GAUGAAGAACGCAGCGAAAUGCGAUACGUAGUGUGAAUUGCAGAAUUCAGUGAAUCAUCGAAUCUUUGAACGCACAUUGCACCUCUCGGUAUUCCGGGAGGUAUGCCUGUUCGAGCGUCAUUUGUACCCUCAAGCUCAGCUUGGUGUUGGGUGUUUGUUCCGCCUCUGUGUGUGAACUCGCCUCAAAACAAUUGGCAGCCGGCGUACUUGUUUCGGAGCGCAGCACAUUUUGCGAUCCAGAUCAACGUACAGCGGCAUCCAAGAAGCCUUAUUUAACGCUCUUGACCUCGGAUCAGGUAGGGAUACCCGCUGAACUUAAGCAUAUCAAUAAGCGGAGGA